CGAACGGGUGAGUAACGCGUGAGCAACCUGCCUAUGACAGUGGGAUAGCCUCGGGAAACCGGGAUUAAUACCGCAUAAAAUCGUAGAAACACAUGUUUUAACGGUCAAAGAUUUAUCGGUCAUAGAUGGGCUCGCGCCUGAUUAGCUAGUUGGUGAGAUAACAGCCCACCAAGGCGACGAUCAGUAGCCGGUCUGGGAGGAUGAACGGCCACAUUGGAACUGAGACACGGUCCAA
rnacentral:rRNA from 1 species